UAGCCGUAAACGAUACUCGCUAGGUGUCGGCCACGGUGCGACCGUUGUCGGUGCCGUAGGGAAGCCGUGAAGCGAGCCACCUGGGAAGUACGGCCGCAAGGCUGAAACUUAAAGGAAUUGGCGGGGGGAGGCACCGCAACGGGAGGAGCGUGCGGUUCAAUUGGAUUCAACGCCGGACAACUCACCAGGAGCGACGGUUACAUGAAGGCCAGGCUGAUGACCUUGCCUGAUUUUCCGAGAGGUGGUGCAUGGCGUAGUCGUGU
rnacentral:rRNA from 1 species